AACCCAUGAUGAGGGCACAUUCUCAAAAGAUCUUUAAAUCUCUCUCAUGCAUCAUAUAAUGUCUCCAAUUCAAUUUGAUAAAAAGAAGAGAUAUCAUUCCUUAACUU
rnacentral:snoRNA from 1 species